GACAGAGGGUGCAAACGUUGUUCGGAAUUACUGGGCGUAAAGCGCGUGUAGGCUGCUUCGCAAGUCGGAUGUGAAAUCCCGAGGCUCAACCUCGGAACUGCGUCUGAAACUACUCGACUAGAGUACUGGAGAGGGUAACGGAAUUCACGGUGUAGCAGUGAAAUGCGUAGAUAUCGUGAGGAACACCAGAGGCGAAGGCGGUUACCUGGACAGUUACUGACGCUCAGGCACGAAAGCAUGGGGAGCAAAAGGG
rnacentral:rRNA from 1 species